GUACUGAUGAAGAGUCCAAACUAGGACGAAACAACAGUCCAGUAC
rnacentral:hammerhead_ribozyme from 1 species